rnacentral:lncRNA from 1 species
CCUUCUUUGCAGUUUUCCUGGACUCAUGAAAUAAGAACAAAGGCAUUGUGCAUCGCCUUCAGGUUGAGGCAGCUAAAAGCUAGUAAGCCUCCUUCAUUUCCCUCUUCCCCUGACAGUGGGGGACCUGUGCUCUAGAGGGCAUCCCCGCAUAAGGAGAGUGGCGGCCCGGCCCACAUUCAACUGUGACCUGAGAAAGGAAUGAACCGUGAUGAUGUGAAAGAAUGCUGUGGCCUUUGUGUGUUACCACAGCAUAGCUUGUCCUAUCCUGUCUAAUACACACAUUUAAGUAAGUUUGAAAUUAUUUCAAAAUCAAAAGACAACUAUUGAAACCGCUGUGGUGCCUUCGAUUCUCUGCUAUCCUUCCCCGGACUCACCGCCUUCUGGAACCACAGAGAUCCUCUUUGUCAUUCACUUUUUGUGAGUCUGCGUUCUCUGGGGGAAAAUAGAAAGAGAAAGCGUCUCCAAUGGGUAGCAAAAUGGAAAAAGAAGAGAAACUAGUGUGUCUAAUCCUCAUUCCCCCAAGGCAUCAUGAG